rnacentral:lncRNA from 1 species
AUUUAGAAUUAAUUAAGUGGUCAAAAGAGAACUAAUUAAAUAUAUGGGUUGAUUAUGUAAAUCAUCCAUAUCUUGUAUAGUGGGCUAAGAGGCUCCAUGGAUUAUCAAGUUGGGUUCUACCCAUAGGAUGCUCCAUGGAUGCUCCAUGGGAGUUACAAACCCAUGGGUCAUGGAAAUGAAGAGUCAUGACACAUUAGGGUUUACAUGGUGUAACCCUAGAUGUGUCAACACUAUAUAAGAAUCAUAUUCUCCACCAAAAUCGGCUAGACUAAGAAACUAGAGGGCUUGGCCGAUUUUAAGAAGUGUGUAUUCUCUCAUAAGUUUUUCCAAGAGCAUUUGGUGUUGUGUGAAGCAUUUGAGGCAUCACACUUGGGGUGCUAGGCUCACAAGGUUUCAAGGAACACAAGCAACAACAAGGUAAGUUAUUCUAUCUAUUAUUCAAGUUAAAAUUGUUCCCCAUGUAUGCUAGAUAGGAAUAUAACCUUGGAAUUCAACUUUGCAUGAUAAUUAGACAAACAUAGAUCCAAGGUUAUUAGGGUUGCAUGUACACUUAGGAAGUGUUAGAAUGCUCAAAACCCAUCAGUGGUAUCAGAGCCUAGGCUUGUUUGUUUGUUAUUUGUGCUUAAAAGUUGAAGAAAGUCGAAAAUCUUGCUGUCUGACUGAUGGACUCGGCGAGUCCAUGGGGAGGACUCGUCGAGUUCACGUGUAUCUUCAACCUACUCGGCGAGUAGGUUUAUGCACUCGGCGAGUAGGGUCGACAGAGUGCAGAAUUUCGACUUGUGUUGCUGGAAAUGGAUUAGAAUCAUUACCCUAAAAUGUUUUGGUACUUGAAAACUUAUUUUAGAAGGUGUAAUGUCUUUUCUAACUCAUUUACAACAACUAGUUAUCAAAAUUACAAAGAUUAAAUGUGAUUUUGAUUCUUGAAAGUGUUCAUAUUCAUAUUCUUGUUCUUAUGAUGUUUAGAUGAUCAUAGGAAUUAUUUGUAACCUAUGUGGUAGAUUAAUUCAUGAUCAUAAUGUGUUUUAAUGGAGUCCAUAACUUGUCCUCAAGUUAUGGAAAACCAAAAGUCUCUUGGAUUAAAAACCAUUAAAAGAACACAAGAGUUAGGAAAAAUGAAAAGUCCUCAUUUUAUUACUCUAUUAAACUCAUAAGUUACAAGAAAUGAAAAGUUUUGAAAGUUUACAAAACUUGCCCUCAAGUUUUGGAACAAGUAAAGUUAAGUUAAAACUUUAGUUCCAACCCCUAGAAUUUUAAAAGUUAAAAUUCAACCCUUAUACUUAUAUUAUUAUGAUUUAAUAAUUAUAUAUAUAUGUAUAAGAACAAAGUCGUCUUACCGCUAGUACGCCUCAUUCACGAAGCCGGUCUAUAAGGUGGGUAUAAGGUUGUUGCCUAUAAAAUGGUGACUUAAUGGGUGUCCACUCUCACCCACCGCUUGCUUGAUCGGUGGAGGGUCGUUAGCCGAACGGGUAAGACAAGGACUUAUUAAUUCUCAUUCAAAGUAUGAUGAAUAUUAUAAAGUAACUAAAUGUUUUAUUAAAUUCCCAAUCUUAGUUACUUUAGGAAAAAUGUGAAUAAGGUGCUAUUCCAUGAAAUUACACUUUACACUUUGAUUAAGUCGUUGGUGGAGCGUGUGUGGUUAACCGGCACACUAACUUGGACUUAACAAGGUAGGUAAAGGGUGACUUAGGGUUUAUUAUAGUAUCGAUGGAGCGUGUGUGGUUAACCGGCACAUCGAUUGAGUGAUAAACUUUAAGGGUACCAAGUGAUUUGCAUGGUUACUUCACACCUCGUUUUGUGAUCCUCGGUAUCCCAGUCACAAAACUUGGAGGGCACACUCGAGAUUGAAACAUGCCUUUGAAAAGUUCAUUGAAUCUCAAAGAAUCUAGGAAUUUCUAAGAACCAUUCAAAAACCUAAUACUAAAAUAUUGCGGUUUUCGUGGUGGAAAUUGGUGAAUCGUCAUUCACCUACCUUUCAAAUAUGAUAUAGCUUAGAUUACGGCAUACCUCUUCUAAGUUAUAUUAUAUUGUGAUUGGAUCCUAGCCUUAAUAUUACAUUUGGGUGUUUUAUUAAGGACUCUCUUAUAUCUAAACUAAUCUUGUCCUCUUUCCUUCAGAUGUCUUUCAACAAUGCUUCUGGCUCUAAUCCUAAUGGCUCCUUUACCCUUAUGAACUUGUGUGGGAAAGUCACCUUUGAUGGAUCCAACUUCAAUGAGUGGAUCAGAAACAUCAGGAUGAUUACCCGCUACGAGGACAAAGAAUAUGUCCUUGACAAGGAGCUUAAGGAGAUUGAUGAGUCCACUGCAACUCCUCAGGAGAUCGCUGAAUUUCGGGCACAUGAAAGGGAUGCUACGAAAGUGGCUUGCAUCAUGAUGGCCACGAUGACAGCGGAACUCCAAAAGUCUUAUGAGGAUUUCUACCCUUAUGAAAUGCACCAAGAUUUGAUGGAAAGAUACCAUCAAAGUGCAAGACAAGAGAGGUAUGAAAUCAUCUGCUCCAUGAUAACAACCAUGAUGAAGGACGGGGAAUCCGUCACGAGCCACAUGCAGAAAAUGCAAAGGUAUGUGGAUCGUUUGCUGAAGCUUAAUGUGAACUUCCCGGAGGAUCUUGCAAUAGAUAUUAUUUUGCAUUCCUUACCAUCGUGCUAUGAUCAAUUCCGCAUGACAUAUCACAUGAACAAGGAAGAAGUCACCCUCAGCAAACUUCAGGGACUUCUCAAGACCGCAGAAUCAGGUCUUAAGGGGAAGUCGGUUGCUAUCACUCCUACUCAAAACUCUACUCCGGUUUUGGCAAUCGGGAAAAGUCGAGGGAGGAAGAGAAAGAGCUCUUCUAAGGGUACCAAGGUUCGGACCCUUGAUGGCUCUUCUUCAAGUGGAACCAAGAAAGGUUUCAUUACUCCUUCUUCUGACCCAAAAGAGGCUGAAUGCUUCUAUUGCCAUGAAAAAGCUCAUUGGAAGCGGAACUGCCCAAAAUACCAGCAAGAUGUGAAGGAUGGGAAAGUUAAACCCAACCAUGCAGGUAUUUACACUAUCAUUUCUAAUAACUCACCCCAUUCUAAUUCUUGGGUCCUUGAUACCGGGUGUGGUAUUCACAUUUGUUGUGACUUGCAGGGACUAAGAAGAAGUGAGGAUGUGGAGCAAGGAAGGAUAAACUUGAUCAUGGGGAAUAGGAAAGCUAUACCUGUUACCAAGAUUGGAGUUUAUACUUUAUCGCUAAGUAGUGGGUUUAGUUUAGAUUUGAAUAAGUGUUGUUAUUCGCCAGGAAUGGCAAGAAAUAUUAUUUCCUUUCAUGCUUUGUACAAACAAGGGUUUACCUUUUCAUUUAAUAAUGAAGUUGGUUCUAUAGAUGUUUUCUAUAAUAAUGUCUUUUAUUUUAAAGCAUUACCUUGUGAUGGUGUGUAUGAAGCUGUAUCUGUUGUAGAUAACUUGGGAAAUAAUGUUUUGUGUAUUGAUUCUACUAAUAAUAACUUGGAUAAAGCAUCUUUAUGGCAUUGUCGUCUUGGACAUAUAAGCAAGAAACGCAUAGGCCAACUCCAAAAGGAUGGAGUCUUGGAGUCGUUUGACCUAAAGUCAGAUGAUAGUUGCGAAUCAUGCUUACUUGGAAAAAUGACAAAGUCACCCUUCACAGGUUCGUGUGAGAGGGGUGAAGGUUUGUUGGACCUUAUACACACGGAUGUGUGUGGACCAUUCAAACAUGCCACAAGGGAUGCUAAUCGUUAUUAUUUGACUUUUACUGAUGAUUAUAGUAGAUAUGGAUAUGUCUACUUGAUCAAGCAUAAGUCAGAGACUUUCGAGAGGUUUAAGGAAUUUAAACAGGAAGUCGAGAAUCAAUUGGGCAGGAACAUUAAGAUGCUUCGAUCCGAUCGUGGUGGUGAGUAUCUUAGUUCAGAGUUCCUCGACUAUCUAAGGGAAUGUGGGAUAGUCUCACAAUUGACACCUCCCAGGACACCACAGUUGAAUGGUGUGGCUGAGAGGCGUAAUCGAACCUUGUUAGAUAUGGUUCGUUCCAUGAUGAGUCGAGCUACGCUACCAAUCUCAUUCUGGGGGUAUGCCUUAGAGACUGCCGCCCAUAUUCUUAAUCUAGUCCCUACAAAGAAAGUUGCCAAAACUCCUCACGAGAUGUGGACUGGUAAAGUACCUAAACUAGACCACAUCAAGAUUUGGGGUUGCGAGGCUUUCGUGAGACGCGAGACUCAUGAUAAGCUCGAACCUCGAAGCGAGAGGUGUAUUUUCAUCGGUUACCCACAGCGAUCCUUUGGUUACCUCUUCUACAGACCUAGUGACAAUGUGGUCUUUGUAGCAAGAAGAGGAGUCUUUCGAGAAAGAGAGUUUAUAAGCCAAGGAGACAGUGGGAGGCAAAUUGAUCUUGAAGAAAUUCAAGAAUCAAGCGGUGAAGGAACUUCAAACUCUAGCCCUCAACUUGAGGAGGAAACUCCUGUUGAGCCAAUUGACAAAUCUGUACCUCUGAGACGUUCCACGAGAGUUAGGAGUGCACCUGAGCAUUACUAUGGAUUCCAUAUUACUGCAGAAGGUGAGACACUUAUUAGUGAUGAGACACUAGUAAGUCAAGAUGACCCUAACAGCUACGAGGAAGCCAUGGCAGGCCCCGAGUCUGCUAAAUGGAAAGAGGCUAUGGAUAGCGAGAUACAAUCCAUGUAUGACAAUCAAGUUUGGAACUUGGUUGAAAAUGUACCAGGUCGUAAGACAGUAGGGUGCAAAUGGGUCUUCAAGAAGAAGACCGACAUGGAUGGUAAAGUACACACUUAUAAGGCUAGACUGGUUGCAAAGGGCUUCUCUCAAAUUCCUGGAGUGGAUUAUGAUGAGACCUUUUCUCCGGUAGCCAAGAUUAAGUCUAUUCGGGUUCUGUUAGCCAUAGCUGCAUUUCAUGACUAUGAAAUAUGGCAGAUGGAUGUCAAAACCGCUUUCCUUAAUGGAAAGUUGGCUGAAGAUGUUUACAUGAGUCAGCCAGAGGGUUUUGUCAGCAACGAGUACCCUAAUAGAGUGUGUAAGCUUGAGAAAUCCAUUUAUGGAUUGAAGCAAGCACCUCGCAGAUGGAAUCUUUGCUUUGAUGAAAAGGUCAAGGAAUUUGGCUUUUCUAGGAGUGAAGAUGAAUCUUGUGUGUAUGUCAAGGCUAGUGGGAGUAUAGUUAGCUUUUUGGUAUUGUAUGUGGAUGACAUACUACUCAUAGGAAACGACAUUCCAACCCUGCAGGAAGUAAAGUCCUGGCUUGGGAAGUGUUUCGCUAUGAAGGACCUUGGUGAAGCUGCCUAUAUUCUAGGGAUAAGAAUCUUGAGAGAUCGGAGUAAAAGACUAAUUGGACUUAGUCAGAGUACCUACUUGGAUAAGGUGCUGAAGAGAUUCAGCAUGCAGGAUUCCAAGAAAGGAGAGUUACCCAUCCAGAGUAACACCAGAUUGAGUAAGACACAAAGCCCUAGCACUGAGGCUGAGAUAGCAGAAAUGAGUCGAACACCUUACGCUUCGGCUGUAGGAUCGAUCAUGUAUGCUAUGACGUGUACUCGACCCGAUGUAGCUUUUGCCUUGAGCAUGGUUAGCAGGUAUCAGGCGAACCCUGGCAAGGCACACUGGACUGCGGUAAAGAAUAUCCUCAAGUACCUACGGAGGACUAAGGACUGGGUCCUUACCCUCGGUGGGAGUGAUGACUUGAGAGUUGUAGGGUAUAGUGAUGCUAGCUUCCAGACUGAUAGGGAUAAUUUCCGCUCUCAGUCGGGCUGGGUCUUUACCCUAAACGGAGGAGCAAUUUCUUGGAAGAGUUCCAAGCAAGAGACAGUGGCAGAUUCUACUUGUGAAUCAGAGUAUAUUGCAGCUAGCGAAGCAGCAAAGGAGGCGAUAUGGCUGAAGAACUUCAUUGGAGACCUUGGAGUUGUACCAGCUAUUAAAGAGCCAAUGGAAAUUUUCUGUGAUAGUGAAAGUGCUGUUGCCUUAGCCAAGGAACCAAGGGAUCAUGGGAGAUCCAGACACAUCGACAGAAAAUACCAUUUCAUUAGACAUCGGAUCGAAGAAGGACUCCUCGUGGCAAAGAGGGUAUCAUCGGAUGAGAACCCAGCAGAUCCCCUCACGAAGGGACUGAGUAGGGUUAAGCAUCUCCAGCAUGCUCGGAGCAUAGGGCUGAAGGAUGAUAUAAGUUUUAGUAGUUAGAUAACCCAGAAAUUUGUAAAGUGUAAUUGACAUUUGAUGAUGAAUAAAAGGUGUUUUAUUUAUGAGUAAAGUGUUGCUAUCUCUUGUCAAUCGUUUACUAUAUUUCUUUUGCAUGUUUUGACUUCCAGAAUAAUUUUGUUUGGUGUAACAUAUUAUUCAAACCUCCACAGUCGGUCAUAUGUCGGAAGUAGGUAUGAAUCAAGACUGUCAUGAUGGGUUGUAGAGGUCUAAGGUGUUGGACAAGGCUACAACAAUCAUGAGUGCUCAUAAGUUCUGAGCAUUGGACUCAACCCACGCUCACUGGAAUCACUUCAUGGAAUUCUAUCUCGAGUGAUCGUGAGACGGUAAUAUCAUAUAAGUCUUCAAACCUAGAGAUAUGAUUUGUUACUUACAAGUUGGUUAUGCAUUGACUGUACGAAACCGCAUUGGUAACUCGAUGUUAUAAAACGUACUUUUGUGUGUAAUUCAAUGAGUGGUAGAACAAACAUAUGAGUCGAAGUUUAUCUGUUCCUUCUUGGAUUAGAAGCUGAUAUCUGGGCCCCUCGAUGAUUUUGUUUUGACCCAUGUACCGGGCCCGGUCAGAACUAAGUUGAUGUGUUCAAUUAAGUUCUAUGUCAAACAAAUCGGAAAUCGGGAAACAAAUGCUGGACAAUAAGCAAGACAAUGUUCCAUGUAUUUGUCCGGCUGAUAUCUAGAACGGAGGAUUAUAUGAUCACUUAUCUUAAAUGGCGUACCAUCAUCUUCUCAGUUCCGAGAGACCUUGAAAGAGCUACGAUUGCCGGUCGGUUCCUGAAGUACUAGAGAUAUAGUUAUUAGACUUAUCCAAGUGGGAGACUGUUGGAUAAGGUGUCUAAGUCCAUAACUAUUUCGGGCUUGUACUUGACCCGACCCGGCAUGGUCCAUUUGGGUUGCAUGGCACCAUGCAAUUGGAUAGACUAAAUGAGAGAAAUAACACUUGGAGAUUAUUAAUAUAUUAUAAGUUCUAAUAUAUUAAUAAUAUUAUUUGAUUAGUUGAUCAAAGAAUUAAUUUGGAAUUAAUUAAGUGAUCAAAGGAUAACUAAUUAAAUAUAUGGGUUGAUUAUGUAAAUCAUCCAUAUCUUGUAUAGUGGGCUAAGAGGCUCCAUGGAUUAUCAAGUUGGGUUCUACCCAUAGGAUGCUCCAUGGAUGCUCCAUGGGAGUUACAAACCCAUGGGUCAUGGAAAUGAAGAGUCAUGACACAUUAGGGUUUACAUAGUGUAACCCUAGAUGUGUCAACACUAUAUAAGAAUCAUAUCCUCCACCAAAAUCGGCUAGACUAAGAAACUAGAGGGCUUGGCCGAUUUUAAGAAGUGUGUAUUCUCUUAUAAGUUUUUCCAAGAGCAUUUGGUGUUGUGUGAAGCAUUUGAGGCAUCACACUUGGGGUGCUAGGCUCACAAGGUUUCAAGGAAUACAAGCAACAACAAGGUAAGUUAUUCUAUCUUUCAUUCUAGUUAAAAUUGUUCCCCAUGUAUGCUAGAUAGGAAUAUAACCUUGGAAUUCAACUUUGCA